rnacentral:tRNA from 1 species
AUUAUUAUGGCAGAUAAGUGUAUUAAUUUUAGGAAUUAAUUAUAUAUAAUAAAUUUAUAUUAAUAAUG